UACAGAGGGUGCGAGCGUUAAUCGGAAUUACUGGGCGUAAAGCGUGCGCAGACGGUCAUGUAAGUCGGGUGUGAAAGCCCCGGGCUCAACCUGGGAAUUGCAUUCGAGACUGUGUGGCUAGGGUGCGGAAGAGGGAAGCGGAAUUUCCGGUGUAGCGGUGAAAUGCGUAGAGAUGUGGAGGAACACCAGUGGCGAAGGCGACUUUCUGGGCUGUAACUGACGCUGAGGCGCGAAAGCGUGGGGAGCAAACAGG
rnacentral:rRNA from 1 species